AGAGAUCCAUAUUAGUAAUACAUAGCCUUAGGCAUCCUGAUGGUGCCCAGCUGGAAUGAUGUGCUGGUCAGAGUUCAUGUCAGGGUUACAAUGCCUCAUUCAUAAGGGUGGCAGCGCCUUCGUCUUCUUCUUCGAAAGGACUCUGAAUCAUUGGUCUUCCAAAUAUUUUGGACUUAGACAGCAUGGCAAAUGUGUAAAGCAUUAUGGGAACUGAAUUCCAAAGAAUCUGAAGGAGUUACAGUUCUCCAGCCCUGUUCUAACAGAACCAACUCGCCUCGCCUACCAGCCCUCAUACAUCUGUUUACCCAAUGCAGAAAAUGAAGUGUUACAUAGAAACUCCCACCUAGACCUGGCUUUUUAAAAUGAAACUUUUUAAAGAUGCUUUUGAAAACUGA